UUUGACUAUACAAAGGUAUUGAAAUAAGAUUUUAAUUGAAUGCUAAGAGAAUGGAAUUUCAGGGAAAUGCUUUAUUUAAGCUAAAAAUUAAAGUUUUUUUAAUUUGUGCAGAAACAAUUAUUAAAAUUAAGGACAAGAAGACCCUAUGAAUUUAAAAUUUAUGAAAAUAAUUAAAAUUUAAUAAAUUUUGGCUGGGGCGGCAAAAAAAUAUUUAAAACUUUUUAAAACUUAAAAUGAUCCAUUAUUAAUGAUUAAUUGGAAAAAUACUCUAGGGAUAACAGCGUUAUAUUUUUUGAUAGACCAUAUUGACAAAAAAGUUUGCGACCUCGAUGUUGGAUUAGGA
rnacentral:rRNA from 1 species